rnacentral:pre_miRNA from 1 species
CCCUCCAUGGAACUAGUCUGCCUACUUCCCGUCUACUCCUUUCGUCAUUCGUUGAUACGAAUACGAAUGACAAUCGAGUGGGUGAGAAGGAAGACUUGCUUCCUUGGUUGGU